CCUCUUGCCAAGCUAUCAGCAGGCUCGACAUUCCAAUCUCUACGUGCUGUGUUUACACACCUGUAGACCUUGGGCCAGCAUUUGACAUGAACUUGGAGAAACUGCAGUGCAAUUCUUACUCUGGUUUAUAUGGAUUUUUAGGCCAAGAAAACAACCCGGAGAACUGGAAAUAUGGGGUGGCACUCAAGUAUAAGUUCAAUUUUAACAAUAAAUAUCCAACAGACUGUGAUCAGUGUGAGAAGAGCAGUGGAGUUUGUGGCUACACUGAACCAUCUAACUUAUUUUCGUGUAAUUGUCCUAGUGGUUUCAACACAACAAUAGAUUGUUUCGAGGGAGAAUCUUGGAGCAGUGCUUUCAGACUCCUACCAUUGCAGAUUAUCACUUUCUUGGCAUGUUUUGUUGGAUCAAGAUUGUUGUAGAUUGCGCUAAAGUGUCUAGGGCAUUCACUUUCCAUUGUAUGUUUUCUGUUCUGAGAUUUCUGCAUAUUGAAUCGAAAAUCCUUCAUGCACUCCAUUAUUUAAUACUAGCAUGGAAAAAUCAUAAACUGGCUUUGAUCAAGUCCGAUUAACGUAUAAUCUGUUUUGCCAAAAUCUCAUCAUCCGACUUGCGCCUACUGUGGCCGUGGAAUAGAUUUAUCAGACCUAUUGACAGGACCAAUAAGCUCUGUUAAAUAAAAUUUAGUACAUGCAAAAGCUAAGAUGGAGCAUUGUACUCCUGGCAUCUGCAAAAUUGAAGUCUUUUAGGCCUUAAAGAACUGUCUGUAUACAAAUAAGAUUCUGCAAGUGAUUCUUUAUUUCAUUGGACUAAAACUAUGGAAUAAGAUGCCAUCUUUUGAGCACUUUCAUAGUGGAAGAAUCAAUAUCUCAACUUUAUAAUUUGUUCUGUUUUUUGUUUGUUACCCGACUUCAGGAAGCUCCUUUGUGAUAAGGAAGGCUUUUAUCAAUCCACCUUUUAUUUCGGAGUCUUUGGCAUCAUUUUGCAGUCUGGUUUGCAGAUCUGCAGAUUCCGGGAUAGUACUCAUCUAUCACUGAUGUCUACACAAUUAUGGCAUUAUAUUUUUAUCCUAUAUAAUUGUUCACAGCAAAAGAAAAAGCAAGGCAUCAACAACAAAAUAACAAAAUAGUUGAGCCUGUACUGUUUUCUUUUUGACGGGGAACCUUUAGAAGUAAACCCCAGGUCUGAUUCUCAUAAAAUUAGAGUUUACUGAACCAGAGUUUAUAUGAUUGUUCUGUUUGUGACUCUCUCAAAUAAUAAAGCCAUCUGAUAUAUGUUCCGCACUCAAUGCACCCCUCUACAACUGAUCUGAUAUAACUUAACAAGUGUUUUUUCACUCAUCGGAGGUUGAUACCAGCCAGUGAUAGCUUGGACCUUGUGAUUGAGCUCCUAGAGCUAACCUUGAGUUUGCUGUAACUUGAGCUAGGAUUCCAGCAGCUCUUUGACAUGCUGUGUUAGGCCUAUUCUCCAGAAAUAGGCUCAAAGUAAGAGCAAUACCUAAACGAUUCCGGAUCAUGACACCAACCAGGGAACUUAGGCAUCACCAACACGCGAGAGCUACAAAAUCAUCUGUCUGUCAGAGCAGAAGAGAUAGCAUAUUAGCAUGGGAUAAGUAAUACAAUCGACUAAAGGACAAUAAAGAUGAUCAGUAAUUCUUUCUUAAUAAUAGGACAAACACACUGAUUAAAUCUAUGUACUCCCUCUGUCCCGGUCAAUUGUAUACGUUUCUUUUUCACUGCUCGACACGCUUUUUAAGGCUCUUAUAAAACAUAGUUCCACAACUUAUUUUUAAGAUUUUCUUUUUUUGUAUAAAAAUAUAAAUGUUAUACUUUUAUACAAAAAAAGAAAAUCUUAAAAAUAAUUUACAGAACUAUACUAUAUUGAAGCAUUAAAGUCCGUGCCGCGCUCCCGUCCCCCAAUGUAUACUAUUGACCGGGACGGAGGGAGUAAUUUGAAAUUGUAUUCUUAACUAUUACAGGACAACUAAUUCUGUCUCAUUAUGUUACAGCUAUUAUGAUAGUAUAAUGAACACUUUGUCUUAUGACAUAAUACUCUUCAAUGUUUUCAUUCUGCCUGCCAGAACUCAACUCUAUGGUACUGUAAUACGUAUCCAGUGCAACAGAAUCCCGCAUUCUUGAUGUACAAGGGCGGAACCAGGAGGAUAAUCCAGGCUGAAGUCCCUGCUGAACCAGAAAAAUCGAUGAUUUUUUUUUUUUUUUUAAUCAUGUCUUUUCCCUCAAAAUUAACAGAUUUCUUCAUAUGAGCCUCAACUGAUUUCAUCAAUAAAUUCAUACGUUUAACUUAUUCAGAAUGGGAAUUCGAUUUUAUUUAGUAUGCCUAGACGAGACAGACGAUAGAAACUAUAGAGAAUAUCUGCAUGACUGCAUACUGUUUAAAAUAAAUUUCAUUAAUUAUUCAUUUUCAUAAUUUGACUUGCCAACAGAAAAUUACAGCUUAAGAUUUUGAAGUCUUAGAGAUGAUAUUUGAUCUAUUUUCCACACCUGCUCGAUCUAGUACAUAGUCUAAACCAGAUGAGUUAAUUGACCAGUCACAUUUCAGUUUAAGAAUAAAGAUAAUUAAUCAGGGCAUGAUUAAUUAAACUGAAAAUGAGAUUCAUGAAAAACUCAUUGUAGAUCUUGAUUAAACAAUUAAGAUUGUCUUGAUUAAUUAAGCAAGUAUGUUGUAGAUUCCAAUUUUAUCACAUCCUCAUUUGUGCAGAUUUGUUAUUAUCUUUUUACAAAAGUAAGUGCUUGUUUGGUAUCAUGUGGGAAGUAAUUUCCUACAGAAACUUCAACUUCCCAUCAUUUCUAAAUACCAUUUAAAUACUAUAAAAUUGUUUGAUUGACAUAUUAGGUAAUAUACUUCCUGCGUUUAUUUUUGUAGGUUUAACUUCCGAUCUAUUAUAUUUUAAUAAUCCUAAUGUUUUUAUUAUAAUUAAAUGAUAAGUAAUAUUAUUUGAUAAUAAUAAUAAUCAUAAAUAUUUAUAUGAAUUUAAAAAUUACUCCAAUCUUUUUGGGAAAAAAAUAGUCCAUACUGAUAACUACACAAAAAUAUAAUUAAUAGAUUUUUUUUUAUUUUUUAUAUAAAGUCGUUAAACUAAUUAAUUAUUCAAACGUAUUUUGAGACUAUAUAUUAAAUUUUUACACUUUUAAAAUUUUGGCAAAAAAAUAUUAUCAAUACGUAUUUUCUCAAUAUUUUUUUAUUAAAUACAAAGAAUAUAUUUUAUACUCUUAAUGAAGAAAUAUAAUUCAACAAUAAUAUUUUGAGUUAAAUAUAAUGAUGAUGAUGAUAAUAAUAAUAAUAUUAUUAAUUUUAUAUUUUUUUAAAUUUAACUAAUUAUUGUUAUUAUUAUUAUUAUUAUAUGUACUAAUAUAUUAUUUAGUGGUGUAUGUAUUUUCAAUCAUAUAAUAUACAUAAAUUAGAUCUAUCGGAACUUCCUAGGUAUUUUAAAUACCCGACUAACUCCCUGUCGAGGCGUUUAGGCAGAGGAGUAGUAUUUUCAUCAUUUUUCAGAAAAUUUUCACUCAUGUGACUUUGAAUUUCCGACAUCCUUAGUGGCUCAGGCAAUGAUAGGAUAAUAUCCUUCAGAGCUCCUCCAAUGUCAUCAUUUGCUUCAACACUUCUCCUAUAUGAAAUCUGGCUCAGUAUUCCAACAGCAUGAAUCAACCGUCCUUGAUUCAGAUUAAUUUCAGCUUCCGGAUUUCUUUUUGAAUGUCUAGACAAGCUGUCAUAUGAUGUCCCCACCUCUAAUAGAAUUGGCCGCCGUAUCACAUUAUUCCCACCUGCAUUGUCAAUGAAAAAUCUAAAGAAAUUUUGUUUUUGUUGUUUUUCUUUUCUAACCUCUGCCGCUUUUUAUAAUAGCAUAUUACAUCAUUUUUAAAUUUAUCUGAGAUGUAAAUUUAUUUGAUUCGUAAAUAACAGAUAAGAGCACAACUUCAAUAAUGAAAUAUAACUUAAAUUGUGUGUGUGAGAGUGUUUUUGUUCUUAUAUUUCGCCCCCAGUUUAUUAGAUAGAUAUAGAUUGAGGAAUUGUUUUUCCCUUCGAUGGAAUUCCCAACAGCUUUAGAAAUCCGGUCCUAAUAAUAUUGUAAAACAAGUAAUCUAUGGUCAAUUAUAUAUGGCUCAUACGGUGUGAAUUUACUCUCCUCAAAUCCGGUUUGAACAAACUCUUUCAUUACGUAAAACCUUGCAACUUCACUUGUUAUCAUAAUAAGUAGAACAAUGACGCUACUCCACUCGAUUAAUAAUAAAUCAGGUCGUGGAUUAAUAAUAAGUCAUGUUCACCUUGAUUAGAAUGGUGGAUACCAAAUUGAUAACAUUGGAAAACAAAAUUUUAAUAUUCAAAUUAUGUGAUUUUUUACCGUUGCACGACAUUAUGUAAUUCUGUGAAUAUUGUGAUGAACAUGAUGAUGAUGAACGGGUGGAGAAUGGUUGUGAGGUUAUCAGGGUGCUGGAUUUGGAGAAUCAGAUCACGAGUUUGGUUUCUAAGAUGGGGUUUGUGUUGAUUUCAGGUGUGGGGUGGUGUAUAUAUAUUAUUUUUGUUGAUGUGUUGUUAUUUGAGGGCCUUCAAACAAACAUUCAAAUUAAAUUUUUUUGUCAAGCUUAAAGAAAAUUUAAUGCUUUUUUAUUUUUACUAUUCACUGAUUUUUAUACCAUGACUAAUUACUAAAUGCUUCUUGAUUAAAAAAAAUAAAAAAAAAGUCUAAUUUUUUAAUUUUUUAUUUCAAAAAUAUACAAAGAAUUUUUAAUUUUUACUAUUUCACCCACACAUCCCCUGUUUUCUUGUGGUUGAAGGAGUUCAAGAUCUUAAUGUGCCAGGACGCUCAAUUCUUCAAAGCGUGCUGUUAAAAUCCUAUGAAUAUUAUGAUGAACAUGAUGAUGAUGAACUGGAGGAGGUAUAUUAUGAUGAAUAUGAUGAUGAUGAUGAACUGGAGGAGGGUUCAGAGUUAUUCUGGAUUUGGUGACACAUCUUCAGUAUUGAUCAGGUGUGGGGUGAUGAUAUAUAUACUGGGAUUGUGCCCGCCACGAGCUUAAAUUUUAAAAAAUUCUGUUUUUGCAAUAAUUUAUAAUUUAAUGUUGUAUAUAAAUUAUUGUUAAUAGUAUCGGGGAUUUAUAGAUUUUAUAGAAAUUACGUGUAGUUUGUUUUUUUUAAUAAUAUCAUGUAUGAUUUUAUGAAUUAAAUUCCAAGGUGAUUUUGAUAUCAAGAAAUAUAUGGUACAGUCGAUAAGAAAAAAAGUUUAAUUUGCAAAUCCCGACUCGAAUGGCCGAUACAACUUUACUAUUUUUCAAAGAUAGAUCACCAACCAAUAUUUGAGAAAGCCAAGUCCAAUUUGUCCAUUUUGUUUUCAAACAACCCAGCCCAAUUUAUUUUCAAAAUAUGCAUUUCUCUUUGCCAAGAUCUGUACUCGGUUAAUGCUGAACUUUUUGUGCUUCUCAGCCAACACCUUUUUAAAAAAAAUCGAUAUUUUAUGAAUUACGUUAUAUAUGUUAAAUUUUAUUAUGUAAAAAUUUUAAAAAUGAAAUUCUUUAAUAUAAGAAUUUAUAUAAUAAAAAUGAUUAGUAUUUUUUUCAUAACUCAAUUUAUGUGUUAAAAAUUUAAAUAUCCGUUAAAUAUAGACUGAUGUAGUAGGUAAAUUCAAUGUUUUAAAUUUUAUUUAAAUGUUAAAGUAUUAUAUUUAAAGAUGUCCUGAUGAUAUGUUAAUAAUUUUGAAUGUAUUUUGAAUAUACUUGUAUUUUAAUUCAUUAACUGAAUAAUGAAGUAUAACCUCAAAGUAAAGCAUUUAAACUUGUGGACAUUUGUUUUUUGUAUCAAUUAGAUGAUGUUCCUUUUCGGACAGAAAAAAUCAAAUAAUAUAGUUUCAUAAGUAAAAUUAUAUUCUUAAAAUGGUGGUAUUGAAUUACUUUGACUUUUACUAUCAUUUUUAUUCUUGAAAGGCAUAAUGCAGAGGAAUGAAUAUUCUGGUUGCUUGCUUGGGCAUAAAUGUUUUUAAUCAUUUUUGUAAAUUAGUAGUAAUUGAGCAAGAGUCAAUUUCCUCUUUGCAUAUUUAGGUAAAAGUGAAUCUCUUAACUCUCACAUCUUCUCAAUUCUAACGUCUUAGAGUAUGUAAUUGUGUCCAAUAGCUUAAUCUCCUUCACUCUAUUUCGAUAAUAAUGCUUAUAUCUUGUAAUCUUGUUUCUUUGCUUUCUUAUCUUGUAAUCUUGUUUCUUUGCUUUAAGUAUGGCUUAUGAUUUGAAGUUCCCUGUUGAGUUCUUGAAAGCCACAAUAUUUGUCCAGUAUGGUAGCCUCCCGCACAAAUUGAUACUCCCUUAUUUCUUUUUCUUUUAUUUUACGAUGUCUAUUGCUUAAAUAAGCACCAACGGUUUGUUCCUUUUCAGUUUCUUCUCCAUGUUUUUGUCGAUCGCUUUGGGGAUUCGUUGCCGGAUAUUGUAAAUAUUUAGACAAUGGAUGGAGAGAAUUUUCCAAUCAAAUUCUUAGCAGAGGAUGGGACUUUUUCUGACAUGCAUGACUUUUUCUGACAUGCAUGAUCUUUUGACAAAGUUGUUCCCUAAACAAUAUCAGUUUUUUUUAUAUCAAGUACCUCGGAGGUCCUAAAUUUGAAGUGUUUCUGUUAGAUGGAGAUUAUAAUUUAGGCAUAUUUGGUAUGUGUUUUGACCUUGUUACAUUUGUCCUAAGUGUAUAUAUUGUAAUGACAUGUUCUUCCUUUUCUUCAGGAGUGCGAGUGCUUGGUUUUUUUCAAUGCAUGUUUAUUAAAAUAUUUGUCAAUUUCUCAAGCAAGUGGAAUCUUCUGGUAAAAAAUUUGUAAUAAUUAAGUUUUAAUCCAUUGGUAAGGAUAAUCAUCGAUCAUCGGUGUAUAUAUAUAUAAAUGAGGAUACCGGAGGUUUGGUGGCUAAAAAAUAAUAAUCAUAUAUAAUUCUAAGUAGUUAAGAAAUAGAAAUUUUAAAAAAAAUAUAAUAACUAAAUUUAUGGAAUUCUAAAUCAUUAAGAAAUAAGAAUCUUAAAGAAAAGGAGAUAAUUCUAAACACUUAGAAAAUAGGAAUCUUAAAUGAAAUAUAAUAAUUAAAUUCUACGAAUUAUAAAAAAAAUAUAAUUGUUAAUUUAAAAAAAUCAUAACUUUAAAAGAAAUAUAGAAUUAUAAUCCAAAAAUCAGGAAUGCUAAGGUUGGUAUUGGUUUCUUCUCUGUGAUUAUCAAGGAACAUCUGUCUGUGAUCAUCUUUCCUCUUGCCAAGCUAUCAGCAGGCUCGACAUUCCAAAGUCUCCCACGAGCCUAACCUCUGAUACCAUGUUAAGUGACCAAUUCUCCUAAACCUCAAAGUGUUAGGAGGAGAGCAUACCAGGAUCAUAUUCUAACACAAUCUCUACGUGCUGUGUUCACACACCAGUAGAUCUUGGGCCAGCAUUUGACAUGAACUUAGAGAAACUGCAGUGCAAUUCUUACUCGGGUUUAUAUGGAUUUUCUGGCCAAGAAAACAACCCGGAGAACUGGAAAUAAGGGGUGGCACUUAAGUACAAGUUCAAUUUUAAUAACAAGUAUCCAACGGACUGUGAUCAGUGUGAGAAGAGCAGUGGAGUUUGUCUACAACGUUGAAGCCUUUUAGGCCUUAAAGAAUUGUCUGUGUACAAAUAAGAUUCUGCAAGUGAUUCUUUAUUUCAUUGGACUAAAACUAUGGAAUAAGAUGCCUACUUUUUUGUUUGUUACCCGAUUUGAGGAAGCUCCUGUUGUGAUAAGCCUGUACGGCGUUUUUGAGAAUCUGAUUCUCAUAAAAAUAGAGUUUUCCAAAGCAAAUGCUACUGUAAAAUAUAACCUUGGUUCAGAUUCUGCAUAUUUUUUUUUUUCUGAUUUUAGCAGAUUACUGAACCAGAGUUUAUAUGAUUGUUCUGUUCGCGACUCUCUCAACUUAUAAAGCCAUCUGAAAUACACCCCUCUACAACUGAUCUGAUAUAACUUAACAAGUGUUUUUUCACUCAUCUAAGGUUGAUACCAACCAAUUAUAGCUUGGACCUUGUGUGAUUGAGCUCCUAGAGCUAACCUUAAGUCUGCUGCAAUUUGAGCUAGGAUUCCAGCAGCUCGUCGAUAUGCUGUGUUGGGCCUAUCCUCCAGAAAUAGGCUCAAAGUAAGAGCAAUACCUAAACGUCUACGGAUCAUGACACAGACCAGAGAAAUGAGGAAUCACCAGCACGCGAGAGCUACAAAAUCAUGUGUCAGAGAGCAAAAGAGAGAGCAUCGGAUAAAUAAUAAAUCGACUAAAGGAGAUGAGAAGGUCAUACUAGUUCAUUGGAAGCACCACCUGGAACUUACCAUAAAUAGUAAAUUCUGGCCUUUAUCAUGCACAGAAUUAGAUAACAAAGAUGAUCAGUAAUUCUUUCUUAAUAAUAGGACAAACUCACUGAUUAAAUCUAUAUAAGUUGAAAUUGUAUUCUUAACUAGUACAGGACACCUAAUUUUGUCUCAUUAUGUUACAGCUAAUAUGAUAGUAUAAUCAACACUUUGUCUUAUGACAUAAUACUCUUUAACCUUUUCAUUCUGCCUACCAGAACUC
rnacentral:lncRNA from 1 species